UUUCUUCUUUCCCACGAAGACCAAGGCACCAACACAACUCGCCCUCCGCUGGAAGAAAAAAAGAAAAGAAGCAGAAGAAGAAGAGCGAAAACCAAAAACCCCAACGAGAUGAUGCUGCCCCGGCGACCGGAGUGCAGCCGGGACUAGGGGAACCGCCCGUCGCGUCGCCGUCCUCCUGCCGCGCCCUCCCCGCCACUCGCCACCGCCAGCACCCGCUCGUCGCCUCCCGCCACGGUCAGCUUUGUCGCCGCCCGCCUCGGUCAGCUCGUCCCCGACCCCGACCAGUCCUUCCUUCGAGUAAUCGAGUCGCCGGCUCCGCCCGCUCCAUUGAAUCUCGAUGAUGACAGAGGCCUAUCCUGAGAUCCCUGUUUCCACAGGAAGGACAGAAGCCUCGCCGUUUGUGAGGUAUGAUCAUUUCAUGGAUGACUGUAGCUGGGAGGUUUUUAAGGAUGGAUCAAAGCCCCUUAAAGAAUUCAAGAAGAUGAAGCCUAUGGUGGCAACUGCACCGUGUAACACUGUACGUGAAGGGAGGCUACUUCUAGCAGGUGAACGAUAUUGAUUCACUCGCAGGGUUGCAACUGAAUCUAGCAAAAGGUACACCCGAACCCUGCUGAAAUGUCUUUGGCAGAAUGAAAAGAAUGAUGAGUGUUUCGGCGACUUCAAUGAGGAAAACUUGUAUGCCUCUCGCUCGGGCAGAGCAAAAUUUAUUGAGUGAAGCGCAUCAGGCAUGAUGGCGUGCAGGCAAAGCGAAACCACAACGCUGCACAUGAUAUAAUCGCUGCCCUGUUUUCCACCGGCAAUGGUAAAGGCAUUCCCGAAGAUAUAUUCAGCACUUGCUCAAUCUGAUUAAGAAUUAUCCUGCAAAAGGUGGACUAUAUCAUAUGCACGCUUCAUUGAUCCCACUGUCAAAGAUGCAAGCAGCCUACUUCAAGAUGUAUGAACAGCUGACCUACAAGAUGGAUGAAGAAGCGCAAGCAAACAUUCGUCUCAAGCUUCCAUAUAUUGAAGAAUGGAGGAAGAGAUUUAAUGGUAACAGGUUGCCCGAGGGUAUCUAUUACUUCAAGCCAAAAACAUAUGAAGUAUCUGAACCAGAGCAACAGCCACACCAGCUUACAUUCCAGGAGCAGGUUGAGCAAGACAAGAAAAGGAAAAAGAGAAGAAUCAUAAAAAAUGGUCAAGUACCUGAGGCAUCGAACUGCUCACAGAAUGGAAGGUGUCAAGAAGGAAAUAGAGCUUGGGAUGGGUGCAUAUGAGGCAGAGGAUACUGAGCUGGUCACAAUCCUACGCUAUCCCCUAUCCUUUGUUUGGCUUCAGGAGGAGUUGUUCGAUGCAAAUGAACUUCAAGGGUUGAAGAUGGAUGAGCUAUUUUAAUUGAACCUACAUUGCUCAGCUAUUUUAGUGGCAUGUACUUCAGGUCUAAAGCCAAACCUGUCAUGUAACAAUGGCAUUUUAGUUUUAUUCUCAUACAUUGGUCAGCUGUUGUUACUCUUAUUUUGUUAAGAACGCAUUUGACAAA